rnacentral:rRNA from 1 species
GAGUUUGAUCAUGGCUCAGGAUGAACGCUAGCGGCAGGCUUAACACAUGCAAGUCGAGGGGUAUAGUUCUUCGGAAUUAGAGACCGGCGCACGGGUGCGUAACGCGUAUGCAAUCUACCUUUCACAGAGGGAUAGCCCAGAGAAAUUUGGAUUAAUACCUCAUAGUAUAACGACUCCGCAUGGAGAUGUUAUUAAAGUCACAACGGUGAAAGAUGAGCAUGCGUCCCAUUAGCUAGUUGGUAAGGUAACGGCUUACCAAGGCGACGAUGGGUAGGGGUCCUGAGAGGGAGAUCCCCCACACUGGUACUGAGACACGGACCAGACUCCUACGGGAGGCAGCAGUGAGGAAUAUUGGACAAUGGGCGCAAGCCUGAUCCAGCCAUGCCGCGUGCAGGAUGACGGUCCUAUGGAUUGUAAACUGCUUUUGCACAGGAAGAAACAACGCUACGUGUAGCGUCUUGACGGUACUGUGAGAAUAAGGAUCGGCUAACUCCGUGCCAGCAGCCGCGGUAAUACGGAGGAUCCCAGCGUUAUCCGGAAUCAUUGGGUUUAAAGGGUCCGUAGGCG